rnacentral:misc_RNA from 1 species
GAUGAAGAACGUAGUGAAAUGCGAUACGUAAUGUGAAUUGCAGAAUUCAGUGAAUCAUCGAGUCUUUGAACGCACAUUGCGCCCCCUGGUAUUCCGGGGGGCAUGCCUGUCCGAGCGUCAUUGCUGCCCUCAAGCACGGCUUGUGUGUUGGGCCUCCGCCCCCCGGCUCCCGGGGGGCGGGCCCGAAAGGCAGCGGCGGCACCGCGUCCAGUCCUCGAGCGUAUGGGGCUUCGUCACCCGCUCCGUAGGCCCGGCCGGCGCCCGCCGGCGACCCCCCUCAAUCUUUCCAGGUUGACCUCGGAUCAGGUAGGGAUACCCGCUGAACUUAAGCAUAUCAAUAAGCGGAGGA